rnacentral:lncRNA from 1 species
GUUAUCAUCAGGAAACAAUGUUAUGUAUUAUACUAAAUUAAGUGGUUUUAUACAAUAUGGAAACUGAGAUAAAAAUCUGCCAACAUGCACUUUGCACCAACUCUUAAUAAAGGUUUUGACGCAUUGUUUUACAUGUGCCAGUAUCUGAAAAAAAUACUUUUAAAGACCAUGUUAAAUCUGACACCAGCAACAAAUGACAAAAUCAAAAGCUCAA